AACGAACGUUGGCGGCAGGCUUAACACAUGCAAGUCGAACGCCCAUAGCAAUACGGGAGUGGCGGACGGGUGAGUAACGCGUGGGAACGUGCCCUGAGGUACGGAAUAACUGCGGGAAACUGCAGCUAAUACCGUAUGAGCCCCUUACGGGGGAAAGAUUUAUCGCCUUAGGAGCGGCCCGCGUCGGAUUAGCUAGUUGGUGGGGUAACGGCUUACCAAGGCUUCGAUCCGUAGCUGGUCUGAGAGGACGAUCAGCCACACUGGGACUGAGACACGGCCCAGACUCCUACGGGAGGCAGCAGUGGGGAAUCUUGCGCAAUGGGGGCAACCCUGACGCAGCCAUGCCGCGUGAAUGAUGAAGGCCUUAGGGUUGUAAAGUUCUUUUGCCCGUGACGAUGAUGACGGUAACGGGAGAAUAAGCUCCGGCUAACUUCGUGCCAGCAGCCGCGGUAAGAC
rnacentral:rRNA from 1 species